CCUACGUGAGGCUGCAGUGAGGAAUAUUGGUCAAUGGACGAGAGUCUGAACCAGCCAAGUAGCGUGAAGGAUGACUGCCCUAUGGGUUGUAAACUUCUUUUAUAAAGGAAUAAAACGAGGCACGUGUGCCUUUUUGCAUGUACUCUAUGAAUAAGGAUCGGCUAACUCCGUGCCAGCAGCCGCGGUAAUACGGAGGAUCCGAGCGUUAUCCGGAUUUAUUGGGUUUAAAGGGAGCGUAGAUGGGUGUUUAAGUCAGUUGUGAAAGUUUGCGGCUCAACCGUAAAAUUGCAAUUGAUACUGGGAGUCUUGAGUACAGUUGAGGUAGGCGGAAUUCGUGGUGUAGCGGUGAAAUGCUUAGAUAUCACGAAGAACCCCGAUUGCGAAGGCAGCUUACUAAACUGUGACUGACAUUGAUGCUCGAAAGUGUGGGUAUCAAACAGGAUUAGAUACCCCAGUAGUC
rnacentral:rRNA from 1 species